AGUAAGUCCAGCCCGAGGCUAAGGGUGGAUCGGGCGGAGGCCGUCAAGCUAGCCGGAAGGGGCUGUGCUGUCAACCAGCGAGCGCAGGAGGUGUUAACCACCGAAGGGAGGUAGAAUGUUUUUCCCCACCAGAGGAGGCAGCGACCACGUCUCCUCUAUGGAGGCAUUCAAGAGCCGUCCAGCUGAAGCAGCAUCACUGUCUGAGCUCGGAAGGCACAAUCCACAUAGGUCUGCAUGGUCCACCGAGCUGCAUACCCACGGGGCCAGCGGGAGGUGGGCAGCUGCUGGGCUCUCUUCUGAAGCAGACAGGAUCUCACUCUGUUGCUGAGGCUGGAUCACAGCUCCCUGCAACCUUGAACUCUCCCUCAAGCAAUUCUCCCCACUCUGCCUUCCAAAGCACUAGCAUUAUAGGCCUAAGCCACCACUCCCAUCCACUGUAGUGUAAACUGUCUCCUUCAAUGUUUCCAAUAGUUGCGGAGCAGAUCAGAUAAGGGUUCUUCCUGUCUGUUGCUUCAAGUUUCAUUCUCUCUUUAAACAAUACAAGGUUGGCUUCCAUGGUUCCUUCUUAAAGAAUGUUGAAGG
rnacentral:lncRNA from 1 species